GACGAACGCUGGCGGCGUGCUUAACACAUGCAAGUCGUGGGCACCAGCAAUGGUGACCGGCGAACGGGUGCGUAACACGUGAGCGACCUACCGAUUUGUGGGGGAUAGCCGGCCCAACGGCCGGGUAAUACCGCAUACGCCGAGCUUGCCGCAUGGCUUGCUCGGGGAAACCUCCGGGGCAAAUCGAGGGGCUCGCGGCCUAUCAGCUAGUUGGCGAGGUAAUGGCUCACCAAGGCGACGACGGGUAGCUGGUCUGAGAGGAUGGCCAGCCACAUUGGGACUGAGAAACGGCCCAGACUCCUACGGGAGGCAGCAGUGGGGAAUCUUGCGCAAUGGCCGAAAGGCUGACGCAGCGACGCCGCGUGUGGGAUGAAGCUCUUCGGGGUGUAAACCACUGUUGCCCGGGACGAACGGCGAGAUUUAUCUCGCGUGACGGUACCGGGUGAGGAAGCACCGGCUAACUCCGUGCCAGCCGCCGCCGUAAC
rnacentral:rRNA from 1 species